rnacentral:rRNA from 1 species
CAGCAGCCGCGGGAAUACGUAGGUCCCGAGCGUUGUCCGGAUUUAUUGGGCGUAAAGGGAGCGCAGGCGGUUUAGUAAGUCUGAAGUUAAAGGCAUUGGCUCAACCAAUGUAUGCUUUGGAAACUGUUAGACUUGAGUGCAGAAGGGGAGAGUGGAAUUCCAUGUGUAGCGGUGAAAUGCGUAGAUAUAUGGAGGAGCACCGGUGGCGAAAGCGGCUCUCUGGUCUGUCACUGACGCUGAGGCUCGAAAGCGUGGGUAGCGGACAGGAUUAGAUACCCCCGUAGUCCCUGUCUCUUAUACC